GGAGUCAGCCAGGCAGUCGCUCCUUCCCAUCCGGGGAGGGGAGGAAAGUCCGGGCUCCAUAGGGCAGGGUGCCAGGUAACGCCUGGGGGAUGCGAAUCCACGGAAAGUGCCACAGAAAAUAUACCGCCAACCCCGUUUCCGGACGGGCGGUAAGGGUGAAAUGGUGCGGUAAGAGCGCACCGCGCUGGUGGCAACAUCAGUGGCAGGGUAAACCCCACCCGGAGCAAGACCAAAUAGGGGGACUUGCGGCCUUGGCCGCGGCGCGCGGCCCGCGCGUGUCCCCGGGUAGGUCGCUUGAGUCGCGCGGUGACGUGCGAUCUAGACGAAUGACUGUCCUCGACAGAACCCGGCUUAUCGGCUGACUCCCACC
rnacentral:RNase_P_RNA from 1 species